rnacentral:rRNA from 1 species
GGACAGGUGGUGCAUGGUUGUCGUCAGCUCGUGUCGUGAGAUGUUGGGUUAAGUCCCGCAACGAGCGCAACCCUCGUCCUAUGUUGCCAGCGGGUCAUGCCGGGGACUCAUGGGAGACUGCCGGGGUCAACUCGGAGGAAGGUGGGAUGACGUCAAAUCAUCAUGCCCCUUAUGUCUUGGGCUUCACGCAUGCUACAAUGGCCGGUACAAAGGGCUGCGAUACCGCGAGGUGGAGCGAAUCCCAGAAAAGCCGGUCUCAGUUCGGAUUGGGGUCUGCAACUCGACCCCAUGAAGUCGGAGUCGCUAGUAAUCGCAGAUCAGCAACGCUGCGGUGAAUACGUUCCCGGGCCUU